GAAAAUGUUUCUUUGACACUAUAUCCAUUCAAAAUUUAAGAGAUAAAAAACCAAUAGAGAUACUAAUAUGGGGUUGAUGUCAUCAAGGUUUUUUAAAUUGCAGUCUGCAUCCGCAAUUGCAGAUGUAGUAUUGCUAAUACAGUAGCCUCGUAAUUUUUUCACGUUUACGGCCGUAACGCAACUGAAUCAAACGAUUUCGUUCAUGUUUGUUCGAAUUUUCUCACCGAAAAACAAAAUUUAUGAACCUCAAAUACUAAUCUGCAACAAAUCUAAUAAAAAAAUUUAUUUUUAACAAUCUCUUAACCGUAUAUUUUAAGUAUAUUCGAAUCAAUGUUAUGGAAUAAACUAAGACUCUGUAAUUGUGGAUAAAUAAUGUAGUGGCAUAGUGGUCUUAUUUUAUAUAAUACGUGAAAUUUCAAAAUUAUUACACGCCGGAACAAUCGCAUCGUGUGUUGCAGCAACCACAAUGAAAAACCAUGGAUGUGAUAGGAAGAGAUAUUGAGAAAAUUAAGAGGCCAAACUUUAAGAAAUGGGUAACAAUAAGAUACUACUACCAGAUGCCAUCCAGAAGACAGCCGAUGUUUGAGCAAAUCAAAACCCUCAAGUUUAUCAUCUUUGAACUGAGUUCUCGCAAUCCAUUAACCAAAUCAAGGUCUCAGAUUGUGAAAUUUGAUGACAAAUAGAAACAGACUCCAAAUCAUGUCCUUGGCCAAGGAAUUUGAAGACUGAUUCUUAACAUCCUUGAGGAAAAUCUUUC
rnacentral:lncRNA from 1 species